rnacentral:lncRNA from 1 species
CUAAUCCUCCACCACCUCCAGCUCCACCGCCAAGCCCUCCUCCAGCACCACCACCAGCUCCCCCACCAAAUCCACCACCCUUACCACCACCAAUAAAAGUCUUCUCCUCGGCAUCAACAUGCCUCACAUUCCUAGCCACCGCAAAACUCACCAACAGAAGCAACGACAGCACACAUAAUGAUUUCAUUGCACUGUUACUCCUCAUCAUCUUUAAACCUCAAACAGACAAUGAUAUUGAAUAUAUGAUAUUUGAUCUAUCACCAAACGGGUAUUUAUACCAGUGCCAAAUCUAAGUUGUAUCUCUAAUUUUUGUUUUCACAUACAA